AACGAACGCUGGCGGCAGGCCUAACACAUGCAAGUCGAGCGAGGACUUCGGUUCUAGCGGCGGACGGGUGAGUAACGCGUGGGAAUGUGCCCUUCUCUACGGAAUAGCCCUGGGAAACUGGGAGUAAUACCGUAUACGCCCUAUUGGGGAAAGAUUUAUCGGAGAAGGAUCAGCCCGCGUUGGAUUAGGUAGUUGGUGGGGUAAUGGCCUACCAAGCCGACGAUCCAUAGCUGGUUUGAGAGGACGAUCAGCCACACUGGGACUGAGACACGGCCCAGACUCCUACGGGAGGCAGCAGUGGGGAAUCUUAGACAAUGGGGGCAACCCUGAUCGAGCCAUGCCGCGUGAGUGAUGAAGGCCUUAGGGUUGUAAAGCUCUUUCAGCUGGGAAGAUAAUGACGGUACCAGCAGAAGAAGCCCCGGCUAACUCCGUG
rnacentral:rRNA from 1 species